rnacentral:rRNA from 1 species
AGCAGCCGCGGUAAUUCCAGCUCCAAUAGCGUAUAUUAAAGUUGUUGCAGUUAAAAAGCUCGUAGUUGAAUUUCGGGAUCAGUUGAUCGGUCGUGCCUCGGUACGUACUGGUCAAAUUGAUUCCUACCUUCUGACGAACCACGAUGUCAUUAAUUUGGUGUCGCGGGAAAUCAGGACUGUUACUUUGAAAAAAUUAGAGUGUUUAAAGCAGGCUCGCGCUUGAAUACAUUAGCAUGGAAUAAUGAAAUAGGACGUUUGAUUCUAUUUUGUUGGUUUCUAGGAUCGACGUAAUGAUUAAUAGGGAUAGUUGGGGGCAUUAGUAUUCAAUUGUCAGAGGUGAAAUUCUUGGAUUUAUUGAAGACUAACUACUGCGAAAGCAUUUGCCAAGGAUGUUUUCAUUAAUCAAGAACGAAAGUUAGGGGAUCGAAGACGAUCAGAUACCGUCGUAGUCUUAACCAUAAACUAUGCCGACUAGGGAUCGGAUGAUGUUAAUUUUUAAUGACUCAUUCGGCGCCUUAAC